rnacentral:sRNA from 1 species
CAGCCGUCUCGAACGGGGGAAGACGGUCAGAGGCCUGGCGCUUCAGCGACUGGCCUCGCCGGGGCUGGGGCACCGCACGCAAUUCGAAGCUCGACGCCUGGCGAAAUCAGAGCCUACCCGAGCGAAAGGCCCCGACCGGUAUCGGUCAGGGCCCCAUUCAGUUCCCACCAGCUCAAUAAGAGAGCACGGACACGGCAAUACGUUCUCCAGCACAGCCCAUUACAAGCCAUAGCGAUGCAAGAAGAUGUGUCGGUGCAAGUGGGAUAUUACACAAACGUAUUACUAUAACCAGUAACAAAUUGGGGGUAUUCGCAUUAAAUCGGCUCGCGAAUACCAUCUGCGCUGAGUCGAACCGU